rnacentral:rRNA from 1 species
GACGUAGGGCGCGAGCGUUGUCCGGAUUUAUUGGGCGUAAAGAGCUCGUAGGCGGUUUGUCGCGUCUGCCGUGAAAGUCCGGGGCUCAACUCCGGAUCUGCGGUGGGUACGGGCAGACUAGAGUGAUGUAGGGGAGACUGGAACUCCUGGUGUAGCGGUGGAAUGCGCAGAUAUCAGGAAGAACACCAACGGCGAAGGCAGCUCGCUGGGACGGAACUGACGCUGAGGCGCGAAAGCGUGGGGAGCGAACAGG